GGCUUUGUGGUUCUCGAGCCGAAGAGCCGUCUCGAAUCUGCAUGCCCCGCCCUCUGUCGCCGAGAAGGCGUGGCUCCGGCGGGACCGCAGAGCCCUGGGGACGGCCUCGGGGCGGCGGCAGGGGAGCUCCUCCUUGGUGCUAGUGGAGAGGAAACCUGGGUUCUAUUCCUGGCUCGGGAAAUCCUCUGGAGAAGGAAAUGGCAACACACUCUGCUGUUCUUGCCUGGGAAAUCCCAUGGACAGAGUAGCCUGGCAGCCUGCUGUCCAGGGGGUCGCAAAAGACUCAGGACUUAGCGACUGAACAACCGCCACCACCAUUCUGUUGAUCUGAGCUGUCACAGCCACUAGCCACAUGCAGCCAGGAAGCGCCCGGCAGGUGGUUCCUCCCAAUUCAGAGAUAUAUCUUUUUUUCCUGGGGAGGAGCCUCCACAGCGUUUGGAAGAACGCUGAGGAGGGAUGGAACCCAGGCCCUUGUCAUCGAAGGCAUGGAGUUCUAUCCACUGGACCACUAGAGCAUUUCUGAAAUAUCCUGAGUUAACAUAUUAAACUUAAUUUCACUUGC